rnacentral:misc_RNA from 1 species
GUGAAUCAUCGAAUCUUUGAACGCAAAUUGCACUCUCUUCGGAGAGUAUGCCUGUUUGAGGGUCAGCCUAAAAAAAAUCGAAGUAGUCGCUGUUUCGCGGUGACAUUCGUCGGAAUUUGGGCAAUCUUAAACCUUUGGGUUUUUUAAGCGGAUUAAAAUUUUUUUUUCGCAUCCACGAUUGUUUCUAAUAUUUUAUUUCUUACACACGUUUUAG